rnacentral:rRNA from 1 species
AUUGAACGCUGGCGGCAGGCCUAACACAUGCAAGUCGAGCGGAGCGGCGGACGGGCGAGUAAUGCCUAGGUAUCUGCCUGGUAGUGGGGGAUAACGUCCGGAAACGGGCGCUAUUACCGCACAUUAUCAGAUGAGCCUGGGUCGGCUUAGCUAGUUGGUGGGUUAAAGGCCUACCGAGGCCACGAUUCGUAACUGGUCUGAGAGGAUGAUCAGUCAAACUGGAACUGGGACACGGUCCAAACUCCUACGGGAGGCAGCAGUGGGGAAUAUUGGACAAUGGGCGAAAGCCUGAUCCAGCCAUGCCGCGUGUGUGGAGAAGGUCUUCGGAUUGUAAAGCACUUUAGGUUGGGAGGCGUUACCAACAGAGUAAGCACCGGCUAACUUCGUGCCAGCAGCCGCGGUAAUUC